UUAAUUUGAAUUUUAUGAAUUUGAUUUUUUAGUUAAAAAGCUAAGAUUUAUUUGCAAGACGAGAAGACCCUAUAGAAUUUUAUUUGUUAUAUUAUUUAUUUAAUGUUUUGUUAAUAAGGUUAUAUAGUUGUUGAUAAAUUUUGUUGGGGCGAUAUUGAAACUUAAUUAACUUUCAAUUAUUUAUUUUCAUAGAUUAAUGUUUUAUUUGAUCCUUAUUUAUUAGGUUUAUAAGAUUAAAUUACCUUAGGGAUAACAG
rnacentral:rRNA from 1 species